rnacentral:rRNA from 1 species
ACGCUCGACACCUACGGGAUGCAGCAGUGAGGAAUAUUGGUCAAUGGGCGCUAGCCUGAACCAGCCAAGUAGCGUGAAGGAUGAAGGCUCUAUGGGUCGUAAACUUCUUUUAUAUAAGAAUAAAGUGCAGUAUGUAUACUGUUUUGUAUGUAUUAUAUGAAUAAGGAUCGGCUAACUCCGUGUCAGCAGCCGCGGUAAUCUGAGCGGGCUGGCAAGGC